AUUAAUUAUGUUCUUACUUGUAAUUUUAUAAUUUAUUUGGAGAAAAAUCUUUAUAUUUAGUAUACUAAAGAAAAAUUAUUUUUUGUUAUAGUGAAUUAGUACUGUGAAGGAAUGAAUUAAAUAUUAUAAUAUAAAUUUAAUUUAAGUAUAUUUUAUUUGUAGUACCUUUUGUAUCAGGGUUGAUCAAAUUAUUUAAUCUAUAAUUAAAUCUCGAUUUUAAAAGAGCUAAUUUAUUAUUUUAGUUAAUGUAUUAUAAUUAUUAAAAAUAUAAAUUAGCGGAGAAAUUUCAUUCGAUUUUAAAGGUAUCUAGUUUUUUAAGAAAUAAAUUCAAUUUAAUUUUAAUAGUUAAAUUAUAUAUUAUUAUAUAAUUUAUAUAUUAAAUUAAAAAUUAUAGGGGAUAAGCUCUAUAAUUAUUCUAUAAAAAUUUUAUUAAAUAAAUUUUUGUAGAAUUAAAAUUAUUCAUCAUUAAUAAGUAUGUUAUAAUAUAUAUUUAAUAUUAAUUAAUUUUAUUUUUUUUAGUUUAAUAUUAAAAUAUAUUAAUUAAUUUUAAAUUUUUUGAAAUAAUGAUUAAAUUAGUAUAAUAAAUUGUAUAUUUUUAAUUAUAUUUUAUGAUAAAAUAAGGAACUCGGCAAAAUUUAUUCUCGCCUGUUUAACAAAAACAUGUCCUUUUGAAUUUAAUUUAAGGUCUGACCUGCCCAGUGAUUAUUUUAACGGCCGCGGUAUACUGACCGUGCAAAGGUAGCAUAAUCAUUAGUCUUUUAAUAGAGGGCUGGAAUGAAAGGUUUCACGAGGAAUAGACUGUCUCAUUUUAUUUGUAUUAAAAUUUAAUUUUUUGGUUAAAAAGCUAAAAUUUUAUUGGAAGACGAGAAGACCCUAUAGAUCUUUAUAUAAAUUUAUAUAAUUAUUAUUAUAUUAGUAUAAUUAUAUACUUUUAUAUUUUGUUGGGGUGACAAAAAUAUAUAAAAAACUUUUUUAUUUAAUUAACACUGAUUAGUGAAUUAUAGAUCCAUUAUUAUUGAUUAUUAGAUUAAGUUACCUUAGGGAUAACAGCGUAAUCCCCCUUCAGAGUUCAUAUUUACAGGGUGGGCUUGCGACCUCGAUGUUGGAUUAAGAUAAUAAUUAGGUGAAGCCGCUUAAUAUAUAGGUCUGUUCGACCUUUAAACU
rnacentral:rRNA from 1 species